rnacentral:tRNA from 1 species
GCACGCGUUGAGAGUCUCCUGGCCGAUAUAACGGCGGACUUCUAAUCCGCGGGUCGCAGGUUCGAAUCCUGCCGCGCGCA